UGAGGUGAUGAUGGCAGGCUUGACUGACU
rnacentral:piRNA from 1 species